rnacentral:rRNA from 1 species
GUCCACGCUGUAAACGAUGAUCACUAGAUGUGGGGCUUGCAUAGCAGGCUCUGUGUCGAAGCUAACGCGUUAAGUGAUCCACCUGGGAAGUACGGUCGCAAGAUUAAAACUCAAAGGAAUUGACGGGGGUCCGCACAAGCGGUGGAACAUGUGGUUUAAUUCGACACUACGCGAGGAACCUUACCUGGGCUUGACAUGUAACUGCUACUGAUGGAAACAUUGGGUUCCGUAGUAAUACGGACGGUUACACAGGUGCUGCAUGGCUGUCGU